CACCUGCGUUCUUUGUGGGUUUAAAGGCUUAUUAUUGGAAAAUCUAGGUGAUGGUUGCGUAUUUGCUUUCCUUGGAUGACUACUUUUGACCGUGAAAAAGUUGCAUUAAUGGGAUUGAAAAGAUAAUCUCUAAUAUUUCAACCAGGGUGAAGGAAAAGAGAGAAAAAACAUAUAUAUUGUAUAAGGAAAUCGUGUUAUAAGAGGCGAACAUCAUGAAAGAGACAUCGCUAUAGCAGUCAUGCCGUUUCAGUUCUAAAUGGUUGAUUUAUCAAUUAGUGGUUCACUUCAAUUCCGGUUAAGAAAAAUAGCUCCAAAUAAAAACCAAGAAUCACAGGAAACCAUGAAAAUAGACCGCAAAACACAUAUAUCUACUUGCUCAGUGGAGAACUCUGAUACGAAGUAACUGUCAAAAUCUCCAACGAUCUCCGAUGAUAGAGGAUCACCGAUGUAAAUUUUAGAAAACGCUUUACACCAAGUUCAAUUGGAAAGUGCCAUAGGUGCAUGAAAACUGAAAAGCGAUGCUUGGUUCUGAAGACAAAAAAAAAAACUAAUCUUGCAUAUACGUGCUUCAUGAAAAUUACCUUUCCCAUCUUGCUUCUCUUUGAAGCUAUGAUGUUUAAUUAGCACGAUCCAGUGUAGUGAUGAUGCACUCCGUAGGUCAAUCAAUCCAUGUGUCCAA
rnacentral:lncRNA from 1 species